rnacentral:rRNA from 1 species
AUUGAACGCUGGCGGCAUGCUUUACACAUGCAAGUCGAACGGUAACAGGCCUUCGGGUGCUGACGAGUGGCGAACGGGUGAGUAAUGCAUCGGAACGUACCCAGAGGUGGGGGAUAACGCAGCGAAAGCUGUGCUAAUACCGCAUGUGAUCUGAGGAUGAAAGCGGGGGACCGAGCAGCAAUGUUUGGCCUCGCGCCUUUGGAGCGGCCGAUGUCGGAUUAGCUAGUUGGUGGGGUAAGGCCUACCAAGGCGACGAUCCGUAGCUGGUCUGAGAGGACGACCAGCCACACCGGGACUGAGACACGGCCCAGACUCCUACGGGAGGCAGCAGUGGGGAAUUUUGGACAAUGGGCGCAAGCCUGAUCCAGCAAUGCCGCGUGCGGGAAGAAGGCCUUCGGGUUGUAAACCGCUUUUGGCAGGAACGAAACGGUGUCCGCUAAUACCGGGCGCUAAUGACGGUACCUGCAGAAUAAGCACCGGCUAACUACGUG